GCAUCGAUGAAGAACGCAGCGAAAUGCGAUAAGUAGUGUGAAUUGCAGAAUUCAGUGAAUCAUCGAAUCUUUGAACGCACAUUGCGCCCCUUGGUAUUCCAUGGGGCAUGCCUGUUCGAGCGUCAUUUGUACCCUCAAGCUUUGCU
rnacentral:rRNA from 1 species